AUUGAACGCUGGCGGCAUGCUUUACACAUGCAAGUCGAACGGUAACAGGCCUUCGGGCGCUGACGAGUGGCGAACGGGUGAGUAAUGCAUCGGAACGUGCCCAGUCGUGGGGGAUAACGCAGCGAAAGCUGUGCUAAUACCGCAUACGAUCUGCGGAUGAAAGCGGGGGACCUUCGGGCCUCGCGCGAUUGGAGCGGCCGAUGUCAGAUUAGGUAGUUGGUGGGGUAAAGGCUCACCAAGCCAACGAUCUGUAGCUGGUCUGAGAGGACGACCAGCCACACUGGGACUGAGACACGGCCCAGACUCCGACGGGGGGCAGCAGUGGGGAAUUUUGGACAAUGGGCGCAAGCCUGAUCCAGCAAUGCCGCGUGCAGGAAGAAGGCCUUCGGGUUGUAAACUGCUUUUGUACGGAGCGAAAAGGCUCCCUCUAAUACCCUUGAUGAGUGGACGUUACUCGCAGAAUAAGCACCGGCUAACUCUGUGCCAGCCGCCGCCGUAAAAC
rnacentral:rRNA from 1 species